UUGGGAUUAAUGUGGAGAGCAGGCCAACGCGAUUGAUCGCGUUGGCGCCCAUGGCGACCUCGAGGAUGCCAAACCCUAAUGCUAAAUGCUCCUCGAUCUCCUCAUCCGCUUCUCAGAUCCUUAUGUUGGAACCUUUGGUGUCGACCUCUCCGACGAGGAAAGCGAACGCCGUCUUCGUAGCAUGUAAUUUCUUGUCAAUUCGUCAUAAACGAGUCGAUUGAUCCGUGAUUCUGAAGGGCGCAAAGAAUGCUUCUACGUGUGGGUAGGAGGUCGCUGCGUAGCAGCAGGAAGAGGGAGUUUUCGUUUGAAUUGGAUUUGAUCGUGGGCCGAGGGGAAGAUUCGUGCCACGGGUGAGUUCCAUAGCAGAGCCAUCGAUGGUAUGAAUUGUCUUAUCUUCCAUCUUCUCCUUUAAUCUUAUGUUUGCUCUGUUCGAUCUGAUCUGCCCUGAUAAUGCAAAUUUCUCCCAAGAUCAUUUGUUGA